CAUGAAUUUUCAAACACAGUCCAGCUGGUUUGCACACCUUCAUUAUUAGUUAAUUAGCAGCAAUGGCACGCAAAAAGACAUAAAAUUAACGUAAAAAUAAGUAAAAAUUUGGGCAUAACAGUAUCAGAUUAAUCCAAUUUUAAACUGAUUCGUUUGAGGAAGAUUUAUAGGAAGCUUCUGAUAAAAGCCUUAAUAAAUUCAUAGUAUCCACAUAUUUGGAGAAGGACAACAAACUUUUACGAUGGGCUAUGAAAUCCUGGGCAGCAAGGCGACCAUAUGAUGAUCGGACUUCAGGUCCAGCGUUAGUCAAAGAAUGCAAGGUAUGAAUAUUUUCAGCAAGCAUGUCCAGGAGAGUGUGGAAUUUUGGUUUCAGCUUACUUAUAUUAGGAAGUUCUGGUGCAUCAUCUGGGGGUAAUGGAGAGUCCUGUUUAUCAAGGUCUUGUUUAGAAUCUAUGGAUUCUACAGCUUUUUUAAAAGAUAAAAUUGAUUUAUCUGAACUGACGGAAUUAGCAGCAACAGCCCGCCAUGCAGCUUCUUCAUUAUGGAGUUGGGUAAGCUUUGCCGACAGUUCGUCCACUAGCUGAGCAUUUUUGAGAUUUUGAGGAUGAGGUUUAUUAGGAAUUACAGCAUCAGGUGGUCUUUGAUACCAACUAACACUAACUUUAUUAGCCAAUAAUUCGUUAAGAACUUCUUGAACUAUUGAUCUAGCAAUAGCUGCCUCACUGGCUUCCUCCGUUUCACCGUAUUUUUUUCUUUGCUCUUCUAAGGCCUUUGAAGAAGCCCAAAGGAGAAGUUGUUUGAUACGUAAAGGUUCGGAUAAGUCUUUGGAUAUAUGGCGAUAGUAUUCAUGCGAUGGAACAUCUGCAUGUGGUAAAGCUUCAAAUCCAGUACCAAUGCUACUAGCACGCUUACCCCGUUGGUCAAGACUACUCCUUCUUCCUUUACCCUUGCGAAGUUCUUUGUUUCGCUUCACAAUUGGUGUAUCAGACACGGGUAGCUCAACUAACCCAUCGGUUUGGGAGGUAUCUGGAUCAUCCUCCACAGAUGAUUUCCUUCUUUUAGAACCAGCUUUUUCUUUACCCUUCCUAACGAAUACAAAUCCUUCCUGCUCUUCAGGCUUUCGUUUCAUAAUGGAUGCUGGUUAGGGUCAAGUCGAGUCAGGAUUGCAAAGACUACCUUACUCAUUGUUUACACUAGGUAACCUAACAAAGUAUAGCGAGCGCGUUAUAAGUCGGCCUUACAAUUGAGCAUUGAAAAUUCAUCAAAGCAAAGUAUAUUCAUGUAGAGAAUAAAUAAAAAAAU